UACGUAGGGGGCUAGCGUUGUCCGGAUUUAUUGGGCGUAAAGAGCGUGUAGGCGGCCAUGUAGGUCCGGUGUGAAAACUCGAGGCUUAACCUCGAGAUGUCAUCGGAAACCAUUUGGCUAGAGUCCGGAAGAGGAGAGUGGAAUUCCUGGCGUAGCGGUGAAAUGCGCAGAUAUCAGGAAGAACACCAAUGGCGAAAGCAGCUCUCUGGGACGGUACUGACGCUGAGACGCGAAAGCGUGGGGAGCGAACAGG
rnacentral:rRNA from 1 species